AUUGAACGCUGGCGGCAGGCCUAACACAUGCAAGUCGAACGGUAACAGGAAGAAGCUUGCUUCUUUGCUGACGAGUGGCGGACGGGUGAGUAAUGUCUGGGAAACUGCCUGAUGGAGGGGGAUAACUACUGGAAACGGUAGCUAAUACCGCAUAACGUCGCAAGACCAAAAAGGGGGACCUUCGGGCCUCUUGCCAUCGGAUGUGCCCAGAUGGGAUUAGCUAGUAGGUGGGGUAACGGCUCACCUAGGCGACGAUCCCUAGCUGGUCUGAGAGGAUGACCAGCCACACUGGAACUGAGACACGGUCCAGACUCCUACGGGAGGCAGCAGUGGGGAAUAUUGCACAAUGGGCGCAAGCCUGAUGCAGCCAUGCCGCGUGUAUGAAGAAGGCCUUCGGGUUGUAAAGUACUUUCAGCGGGGAGGAAGGGAGUAGAGUUAAUACCUUUGCUCAUUGACGUUACCCGCAGAAGAAGCACCGGCUAACUCCGUG
rnacentral:rRNA from 1 species